rnacentral:lncRNA from 1 species
UGGUGAGUACAGUACCUGCUAGCAGAUAGAUCAUUAUAAUUCUCAGAUAUAUCACUAAAAUACUCAAUCCCCAUGAAGAAUAUAUCAGGUAGGUUUACAUCCUCGAACCUGCACCAAAUCCAGAAACAUAAAGAACGUAAGCUUCUAACUAACUACUCUCUUGCACACCAAAAUAACAACUGAACAUGAGUGCGUAGAGAGAGAGAGAGAGAGAGAGAGAGAGAGAGAGAGAGAGAGAGAGAGAUGGAGCUGCAUAUAACCAGCCACAACACUUCCCAAGUUUUUUAAUGAAAAAUGCAUAUGUCUUGCAAAUUAGUAACCAAUUUCAUAACAUCAUAUGAAAAGAAAAAAAUAAGGAAUAUGAAAUGCUUUCACGAUUUCAUACAAAACUCUACACUGAACUACACAUUGUGUUGUGACUUGUGAAGCUACUUUGUCGAGUUCAGCGAAAGCGCCAGUAUGCCAAACCAAGAGAUCUCUGAAACAAACUAAUACAUCAACAGGUUUUGAGUAAUCAACAGCUCCAUACCCAGCAAGAGCUCUCUGAAUUUUAGUAAGUGAAAAUCAUUAACUAAAUAAGCUCUUUUUCAAGGUCAUGCAAUAAGAAAAUGGGCUGAAUGACCAUCAUAGCAACAUGUAGAAGCAGCAAAAAUAUAGGCUUGGUGUGUAACUGAUCAUGAAUGUCAACGAACAAUACAGCCUGCAGUUCUUUCCUCCUUAUCAUGCUGGAGCAAAGCCCAUAAUAGCAUAUUACUAUAAAUUGUGAAUAAUAAGCUCAAAAAAGGAUAUUUGUCCACGGAAAUCAAAUGGGCGUUGCCUGCACAUUCGUUUGGUAAUCAGAGCAUAUAUCCUUCAGCUGAAAAAUACUGAUAGGAAUAUGCUAGAAUAAAUGAGCGAACAGAAAAAUAAGGAAAAAUGGAUGAAGGAAUUGGAUGAAUAGAAAUAUGCAAACUAUAUGCAUCAGGAGGUCCAGCAUCGGCUGCUGGUAUACUUAGCUUGAAAAUACCAUGCCUAAUACAUUUUCCUUCAACCAUGAUGAUCGAUGGAGGAUCAUAAUGGUAAUGCUUGCCAAUAUUUUGUCUCAGCCUGCAAGAUGCCAAGAACAUGGACAACAUGUCAUUUCAGAACUCAGACCCUAGUUGCAUUUUCUGAUCAUCAUUCCAAAGUAGGAAUUAAAGUCGGGAGUUUAUGCAGCACAUACUGGUACAGAGAAGGGC